UUGAAAUUCUUUAAUACACGAAUAUAAAAACAAAAUAUAGAAAACAAAGUAGAUGAAGGGAGAUACAAGCCAGGAAUUAAGAAAAUCCAUUUGCAAAAACUAAAAAUGUCAAGACAUUAAAGUGCGCAUAGGCAACACUUUAAGUUAACAAAAACAACACAAAAGUAACAUUGACCAAAGGAAAAGAUACAAAACAAACAAAAAACAAAAUAUAGCAACAAAUUUGAAUUAAGAAAAAACCAACAACAAUUCUAAAGCAGAAGCAGCAGUUGUCAACACAGCGGGAAACUGGUUUUUGAUAAAUGUGCAUUUUGGGAAUUCAAAAAAGACAUCGUCAGACAACCACAAUAACGAAGUGUCUGACUAGCUUACCGUCGUUCAUGUACUUUUGUUUUUGGCUUUUUGUUGGUGUUUGAAAAAAAAAAAAGAAAAAGGAGAUGAAAAAUACUUAAAAACUUUUUUUCGAGUAAAUUUUCUACUACAAUUUAGUAUUUUUUUCAUUAUCGUGCCAUUUUAUAGUUGUAUGUUGUGGGUAAGCUGAAAUUUAAGUGGCAAAAUAUUUGACUUGUGAUAAAUAAGUUACAACUAAUUUUACACACUGUUAGCAUUUCAACAUUUCUGCACAUGUAGACCCAGAUGGCGGCGGAAAUUUAAUGAGCUAAGAAACAGUUGAACUUGGAAUCUGUAUAUAAGAACUAUACUUCCGAUUUCCGAUUCACUUAGUCCGUGUGAUCACAAAUGUAUAAAGUUAACCAGAAAAAGUCAAUACAAUAGAUAUCUACAUAUGUACAUAUUUGAGGAGAGUCAAGUAUCGAAAAUAGCAAUAACGUCCGAAAAUAAAAAAUAAUACAGUUUAGACCGCAGUUUUUUCAGAAAUGCACAGUCCACAUCAUUGUAGUAGAUAAAAAUAAGGAUGAAUAAUUACAAUAUUCGGCUGAAAUACAAAUGGACUAAUGCAAGGAUGGAAAAACUAUUUGUGCCUUAAAAUCUGUUGAUGCAGUAAUACAUUGCGAGGAACAUUAAUUUACGCCAAGAAACAACUUCAAAACCUAUAGUACACACAUAAAUACCAGACAUCAGCAGGCACUGACUGUGUAAGUAAUAAAAAAUGAAUAUUGCAACAACAACUAACGUAAAGAAGAAAUAAACAAAAGAGAAGCGAAUAAAAGAAGAAAACGAAGUGAAAUAUUCAGAAAAUUGUAUUGCAUGCAAGAAACAAUUUCAUGUCAUAAUGAAUGUUAUUACAAAACUCUAGCAACAACAAUAUGCAGUUGUUUUUGUUGGUUAUUGUCAUAAAACAUAUUUUUUUACAUUUUUAAUUAUUAACUCAUAAUAAUUUAUCGUAGAUGUAUUAGGGUAUUUUUUUUUAGAUUGUUUAUAAAGAUACGAAUGUAGAAGCCAUUAAAAAACUCUGAAAAUGAUGGUAAAACUUCAAAAGGUAUAGCGCAAAAUUUACAAUAACAAUAGUGACAAUUUUAUUUUGUUAAUUAUCUUUUUUUGGAAUUUGUAAACAUAUAAUGAAAAGUAAAAAGCUACAUGAUCAGCUGUUUACUUUUCGUUUUACUUUAUAAGUUUAAGGACCAGUUUUUUACGUGUGUGUAAUAGUAAAUAUAUGUAUAGUGGAUUGAG